GGUCAUGAGUGCCAGCGCGUAACCCCGGUUUGCUGGCCGGCAACCCUCCUCCGCGGUGGGGUGCCCCGGGUGACGACCUGGCCGGACCCAGACGGGCUCCGGCAAGCGCGGGAC
rnacentral:ncRNA from 2 species